CCCACGCCCCCGCCGCACCGGCCCAGAUCGGGCGCCUCGCCUCGGGCGCCCACGCGGAGCAGCGGCUCCCCCCUUAGCAGGCGGCCGGGCCGAGCCCACUCCCCGCGCCGGAGCAGCGAGCGGCACGGCAGGUCCGAUCCUGCGUACUUCCCAGCAGUGAGUGAUGAUGAGCCCAUAGGCAAAAGGGACAGCUGUGAGAAGGAAAAUCCAACCGUGCCCAGAGGUCGAGGCGCCCGGCGCGAUCUCCCACACUCCACCACCCCGCGCACCCCGGGACUCCGGCGCUCGGCUCGCCCUUCUGCCCGACGCCCUUCCCUGUGUAGCCACCUGCACUUCUGCACACAGGUGACCAACGCGAGGAGCUCUUCUCCGGGCACGUCUUCCCUGACGCUACCUUUCUUCGCAGCGUUUGUCAGCAAGACAGCAUUCCUGCCUGAGGUGCGAGUUCCGCCCCGGGAGGGAAGCCCCGGCCUCCUGUUCCCCGCGCCGCGCAGCUCCGUGUGCUGCAGCCUGGUGCGUGGCUCCGGAUCACAGCGGGACGACGGGCCCGACACCAGGUGUUCUCCACUGCUUCCAGGUUCACGUGUACACCAUGGGAAAGGAAUUAGCAAUCAUGGAGACUACCAGAAAGUGAUCUGGAAAGAAUAAGCAAGGGUAUUUCUCGAAGAUUCAAACUUGCAAUAGAAGGCCCCACCCGCCCCUUGCAUACCCGUGACACUUUCCAGCUGCCUUCAUCUGCUUCUCCCCUGGCGUAUUGCCAGACACCGACUAUUAACAACCUCCCUUGAGUUUGGCUGCCAGUGGAUUUAGCCAAAGAGCAGUUCCAUAGGACACUGGAGUCAGGAAGAACAAAGGCAUCAGCUGCCUGGGACCCUGGUCCUGCCCUGCAGAAGCUCAUGCUACUUAGAGCAAGGCUCUGAAACAGUGCUGGUGAACCCAUGGCACACGUGCGCAGUAGGCUGUUUGAUAUUACUGAAAGCUCUAAAAGGUUUUCCAGCGCUGCUCUAAAACCAACGCUGCCCCUGCCCUGCUGAAAUACAGACUCCUCCAUCCACCAGCUGUGUGCCUGGGCCUCAGUUUCUUCAUCUGUAGAAGAGAAGUGAUUGUGGCAUCCAUCCCCUGUAAUUGCUGCCGAGGUCAUGUGAAGCCUGACAAAGAGAAUAUUACCAGGCAUGGAUGCUGUCAUGAUAUCAGACUGCUACAAUAACUGUUUUAAAAUGCUGAGGAAGAAGACAUUUUCAGGACUCUCUGGUGAGCUUUCUCUUGGAAGAAAGGAGUGGAUGCCCAGAGCAAGCAGGAUAUGGAAGAUGGAAGAUGGAAGAUGGAAGAUUCUGGAAGAUGCAGGUUAACAGCUGGAAGAAACAUUUGGAAAAGAGUCUGCAAUGGGAGAGCUGUAUAUUGUAGAAAACUUAUCACUGUGCCAUCAGAUAAAGCAAAUCUCUUUAAAAAUCAUUUUUACUAUAGCUAUUAAAAUCUAACAUCUAUUACAAUUUCUAUCAGACAGGUAUCUGCGGUUAUCAGGAUAUUGUGUUCCUCUGAGGUGGAGUAUGGCCAUCGUCACAUGGAAGUGGUCUUUAUUUCAGAGUAAAAAUAACUGGUUUUCAGUUCUCUGAGGUUCUCAAUACGUAGAGGGCAGGGAAACCAAAUUAUUCUUCAUUGAUCCCAUGUUAACUAGCACAUAAGCCCAAUAAUGGGGAGAAAUGUGGAAAAUUUUCUUUUUAUGAGAGACAUGCCUAUAGUGGAGAUCCAUUUUUAGAGUAAAAAUUAAAUUAUUAUAUGCAAGGAAACAAAAAAGAGUGAAUGAUGUAUUAUUUAGAAUUUUAGCUUGAAGAGCAAUUUGGAUAAAAGGGACAACAGACACAAUAGGGGAGGAAAGAUAGUAGGGAACUGUUUCUUUAGGAAAAAUAACAGAGAAGAAAUUCAAAACAGGUCGUUUGGAUUCAUGCCCUUACGUUCAGUUCACAGGCACACUUAAUAAAUAAAUGCAAACUGUUAUAAUUAACAUGACAAAAGAAGAUGUUUCUAAUGAUGCUAUAAUUAUUAGAAGAAACUCCUUGUUUAACGAUUCAUUCCUCUCAUAGGAGAGAUCGGGUGUAUGUAAAUUUUCCAAAGUAAGCUAUUCAGCCCUCUCAUAUCUGUGUCUCACCCGUAUCUUACAAUAAUAAAUAUAUAGUUCAUAUUUACUGGAGACAUUAGGCCCAUGAAGCAGAGAGGGACAAGUAGCCCUUGAAAGAAAACAAAAGGACAAAGAAGUUCAUGCUAGUUAUAUGAUCACUACUAAGCAUAUCAUUGUCGCAGGUCAUAUGUUCUACAAGUUGCCACGGAAGUGUUCAGUCUUCUUUCUACUCUUUCAGAACCUUACCAUCCUCUCACCAGAGAACUGGAGUUUAUCUCCCUUCCCCUUGUAACUGAAGGCUGUGUGUAGGUUUGCAACGCAUAGAAUGCAGCAGAAGAGAUUGAGUGACCUCGGAGACUCAGUUAUAAAAGAUCACAUGGCUGUCACCCAGCUCUUUCUCCUGGAUGGUCACCAUUGCUCCCAGCCUCCAUGUUGUGAGGAAGCCCAGCUCACAGUGAGGUUGCAUGUCAACAGUCCCGGCUAUGGUGUUACACAGAGAUAAAGAACUAGAAAAGCUAAUUUGGCCAAGCAGGAGAGAAAUGACAUCUCCCAAUAUGGACUACAACUGUAGAACAGUUGAGAAUAGCAGUGUGUAGAGCACAAGGAGUUUAUUUUAGGUAAGCUGUUGUUUCAGCACAAUACUUACAUCACAGUGGGGACAUAGCACAACUUCAUUUAAUUACAUGGAAACCACAUACUGAUGAAACCAGGUAUCUCGACUUUCUGUGUUUCACUCCAACAAGAAGAUUAAAGAGUCAGUACAAGUAAAGGGGACCUCUGUUACCUAAUCUCUCACAAAUUCUUUCUCCUGUGCUUUCGGUGAUAGCACGCUAUCAUUAUUUCUCUGCAGUUAACGAACUACUAUAUCAUGUGCUUGAUUGAGCUGCCGCUGAGGUUCUUUAGCUGCUUGUUGCAUGGGAAAGGUAAGGAUUGUGUCUGGCUGAGAACAGGAUGCGUCUUCCCCAGAGUGGCAGAGUUAGCACAAGAAUGGAGAAGUCAAGCAAGGGGAGCCAAGCAGCAUCUUCCCAGAGAUGGAUAAAGAGGGGUGCACCUCUUGCUCUACUUAUUCUUUAGCUGUAAGGACACCAGCAGCCAGUUCCUCCUGGAAAAAGUCUGGACUCAUAGAGCCAGGCCAUGGAAUGAGAGGCUCCAUCCAGAGCGAUGGCCCACAAGACCCCAUGGCCAGUCGUGCCCCAUGCUACUUGUGUCCCCUGUUUUCUAGCUAGGGAUCCAAAAACUGCCUUUUUUGGCUACUUGUCAGCAAUAAGCCCUAAAUGGUAUUUAUGGAAACCGUUCAGCCAAUAUGAAUCAUUUUGAGACAUGCACAUAACAGGAACACAAACGCAUGGUUAUCACAAUGUUCUCUUGAGAGGCAAAACGCUCAGGAAAAUACAGCGGGAAAUUAGGCAACUCAGAUCAAAUCACAGCAACUGUUCCAGAACAGCACCUAAAAAGGGAGAUAACUCAGAAACAUUAGAAAAUUCUAAAUGAAAGGAAUUCUAACAUAAAAUCACAAACACAAAGAACCUCAGUAUUACACAAAAGACCUAAAAAGAAAAAAGACAGGAAGGAAGGAAUGAAAGGAAGUGAAAGAAAAGAAAAGAAAGUCAUUUCUAUUCCUUGAUAAUAAACUUGUUGCCAUCUGUUUCACAGUAACACGAUGGUUUCAUUUCCUCCAAAUGAAGCAAAUAUUGGAUAUCAAAAAUUGAGUUGCAAAAAUAAUUGUUUUAAAGGAAAUAAAAGAGGUUAGGCCCUAAACAGUGAUGGAUGGCCCAAAGUAACAUUUUUUUUCCUUGCAGAUAUUUUAAUGAUAAAUGGAUUCUCUAGUCAGAAGUACAUUUUGUACUAAAAGAGGGAAUAAGAGGAAUUUACCCAGAAAGUUGUAUGAACAGCCACGGGUUGUCUUGGGCUAUUGUAAUUCAAGAGUUUGUGAGAAUUCAAAAGGUGCCAAGGCUGAUGCAAAUCAUACCAAAGUUAUAGGAAUGGCCUUUUUAUUUGCAUCCCGAGCAAGGACAGUAAAAAAGGGACCAGUCCAUUUCACGGAUCAGAACGUAGAAAACUAAGUGGUGUGAAGUGGGUGCGGUUCUAGUUCGCUGGCAUCUUCUAUCAACGAGAAUGACUUCCACCCUGGGAAAGGUGGAAUAGAUAGGGCUGUCGGAGUGGAAACCUGAGGUGGAUUGGUAGGUAGUAGAGUGCCAAGGUGCUGAGGAGAGAAGCUCUUGCCUCUGAGUCCAGAGCCUGGUGCCCUGUGUCAUCACCUCUGUGGUCCCCAGCUCAGGGGAAACCGGCAGCACUGGCCAAGGAGGGGCCGGGCAGCUCAGGGAUGCAGUGGGUGCUGCAUAUGUGGAGGGCCUGGGUUUGAGUCUAAGCAACCCCUCCCCAAGAAAGGUCAUUAAAAGUCACUCAAAUUUGUUUUAAAGUAGUAAACUUAGAUGCUAGGAAACUAGACUUUUAUGUAUUUAAAAAUUGUAGGACUUAGUAUUAAAUUAGUUUAACAAACAUUUAGUCAAAAGCCAAACCAAAAGUAAACAAUGAUUGCUAGACGCAGAAGUGCACACCUAAAUUCCCAUCACUUUAGAAGGCUGAGGCAGGAGGAUUUUAAAUUCAAUUCCUACCUGGGCCACCUCCUGAUACUACGUCUCAAAAAAUAAAAUAAAACACUAAAAUGAAAGAAGGCUAUGGAUGUGAACGCCCUGCGUUCAAUUCCCAUUACAAGAAAACAAAAACAAAAACAACAAGAAUAACAAAAGACAAAAAUAGAAAACAAACCACCGAUGAUCCUGUAGAGAUAGCAGAGGUUCAUCAACAAUACACUAUGAACCCUAGAGCACUUUGUUUUCACAAAAUAUUGUAGCAAAGGAACAACAAUAUAGAGCCGUUCUUACGGGUUUCAUUGUUACAGUGUACGCAAAUACACCAGCCCGAUUACCCUACAGGUGGCAACACACAAAGUCGUUCAUGUAAACAGGCCUGAAACUACGAAAAGCCGUGCAGAUGGAUGAGGUAGUAGAAUAUAAUGAAGACAAAAUAGACUCUGGAGCUAAAUGGCCUGGUUUUGCUAGCUCCCGUCUGACUUGGGGGCCAACCACCUAACUUCCCGCACCUUUAGAUGGAGAGUAGUAGCGCUGUUGGUGACUAAAUGUAAAGAACUUGGAUCAGGUCUGGCACAAAGUCAGAACAGCUAGCACUAAAGGGAUGCUAACUUUUUGUCACUGUCAUUAUUUCUCAAAUUAGAACAAAGUGGGAAAACAAACUAGGGAACCAUGAAUAUGCAUAUUUGUUCAGACCGACAAAACAGAAACAAGUAAGUAUACCAAUUAUUAAGCUGAUAUCAGGAUCAUUUACUCUUUUUCUUCUUUUUCAAUUGUUAUUUUUAUUAGCACAUAUUUGCAGUACACAUUGAUCAACGCCUUGCGGGGAGCUGGCCCAGGUACCUAACACAUCCGCAUUCAUUUUUCAUCCUCUUCUCUCCCCUUCCUCCAUGUCUUGGUCUCCUUCCCAUUUGCAAAAGAUCUAUCUCCCUAUUUUCCAUUAUCUGUCUUUUAUUUGCCUCUUUAUUUAUACCUAAGGCUUCUCAUAUAAGAGAAACCCUUAAUAUUUAAGCUUGUGUGUCUGAUUUUACUUGACAUGACGGUCCCCACGCGCAUGCAUUUUCUACAAGUGACUCAUGUUUCUCAAAUGAAUGUUACCUGAAAACCUAAUGUGUGCCAUCCCCAGAGAAAGCAUGAGAGACACAGGGAUGGAGACAGCAAGUCUUUGAAGGCUCUAGCACUGGGACAAGCAGGAACUGCUCCUUUCCAGGUUUGGAGCACUGGCCUCUGCACUACAUACAGCAUGCUUUGAGAGGCUUGGAUGGAACACAGGCUUUGAUAUAGCAUGGUUUCUCUUAUAUGAGAAACUCAAAAUAUAAAUAUAUGAAAGAGAAGAAUAAAAGGUGGAUGAUAGAAACAGGGAGAUAGAUCUUUUGCAAAUGGGAGGAAGACCAAGAGAUGGUGCAGGGGGAGAAAGUGGAAGGGGAAGCAAUGAAGAUGUGUGUGUACAUCACUGACUCCUCACAAGGGAUGUAACCAUUAUGUACCGCAAACAUGAGCAGUAAAGAGAAUAAAAAACUCAUUGCAAGAGUGGAAUCGAAAUGUGCAUGGUAGUAAAUCAGAAAAGAAAAAUAUUUGGACAAAAGGAGCCAAAGGUCUAACCAAAAGAAGAUAAACUUUUAGUGAGGAUAAAGCCAAAUAGUGUUUUUAUUUGCAAGUGUAAUUUUAUUUUAAAAUAAUGUAUAUUGAUAUAGAUGGAUUAGAAAUUGAAAAUUUCACCUUUAAUCCUAACAUAUCUAUAGUCUUUAUACCAUUUGUAUAAAUAUGAAUACCUUCAUAAUUAUAUGCGUAUUUUAUGUACAAAAGGAUAUGAAAAGUGAAUCUAUUUAACUUAACACUGAAUUAUGAUGCUAUUCUAUUCUGUAGCACACUUAGUUCCUGUGAAAAUGUGUAUGUAUCACAUCAUGAGAUAUCUCUGGAUAUGAAGUGCAGUGGUACGUAACACAAAUUCUUUACAAUCCCAGAGCAGCUUCUGAUUGUUUGGGGCUGACUUCCUUUUCCCUUUCUUCCUGGGCACACAGCAAGACUACAUUUUUUGCUUCCCUUGCAGCUAGGAACAAUUUGGUGACUAAGUUACAGCCAAGAGGAAAUGAACAAAAGAGAUGGGAGAGUCCUGAUGCGAUUUUCCAUGCUCUUUACUUUUCCACCAGGGAGUAACUUUGAAAGUUGCAAGUUAAAGAUGAUACAGCUAUAAUUAGGAAAGACCAGACUUGCACCAUAGUUAGAGAAGAGGUGUCACAGGACUCAGAGAUAAACAGUUUCCCUUUUCCACCCGUCAUUUUUUGGUUUACUUGUUACUGCAACUAGCACUAGUUCAAAAAAACCCAGAUACUGAAAACUUUAAAUUGUGCCCACUUGAUAGCUGCUGUCUAGUAUCUCUUCAGUUGGAAUGUCUUUGAGGGUCAGCUUUGACAUGAUAAAAGACAGAAGAGAUUUGGCUGACUGAUAGUGGGACAUGAACCUAUCGCUGGAUUGACUUGGAGUGGGCUGGGAGAUGAUGCUCAGGACGGGCAGCAAGUCAUCCUGCAGUCAGACCAGCUGGGACUGCACAUCCAGAUCACAGGCCUCAGGAAGGACAGCUGGCCACUGCAGCUCAGUGGAGAGGACGGGACCUUGUCCUGGGCUACGGACACCAUGGGGACUGAGGGCUGCACAGCAAGAACGGUACACGCCUCUCUUGAGAGGGUUACACUAGUCACGAACUCAACACGAAGCACAGCUAGGCUACCUUCAUAGCAGGCAGUAUAACUCCAAACUGAAGAGAAGAGAAACCACGCCUUAUGGAACGGAUUGUAUCACCUUGUAAAUAUUUUCAGUUGGCGUCUUUCGCCACAUGAAACAAACAGGAAGUUCCAUGCAAACACUCAUGAGCACACCCCGUCAUACCUGCUAUAGCGUCUAUUGGAAGAAACUGACUUCUCAAGGAUAAAGCUAAUAAUGAAAGGUAACAUUCAUGAAGUGCUUAGAUUGUACUACAUCCCAUUCUAAUUGCUUUUUUGUUUUAGAGUCAAUAUUUAUUCUAUUCUCUUUAAAACUUUUAUUUCUUAUCAGUAUAUGUUUGCAGCCCAUAAAGAUUACACUCAUCAUGGAGAGUUGGUGCGUGCAUGUAACACAUCUCAGUUCUUUUUCUGUUCUGUCUCACCCCCACCAUCACUAUUUACAAAAGACCUAUCUCCUUGUUUCCUGUUUUUGGUCUUCUAUUUUUCUCUUCAAAUUAUUUGUACUUUUGAUUUCUAAUAAAAGAGAAACCAUCUGAUAUUUAAGCUGUAUUUAUUUCAUCUAACAUUAUGGUCUCAAAGUGCAUACAUUUUCCUACAAAUGACUCAAGUGUAUUCUUCUUUAUGAUAGAGUAAAACUGCAUUGUGUGUGAAUACCACAUUUUCUUUAUCCAUUCAUCUGCUGAUGGACAUAUGGGCUACUCCCAAGACUUACCUCUGAUGAGCUGUACUGCUAUAAACAUGGUGGGCAUGGCUCAUGUAAUAUGAUGUCUGUAACUCUUCGGGAAGAUACCUAGAAGGGGAACAGCUGGGUCAAAUGGAAUUUCUAGUUUUAGAUUUUUGAGUAAUCUCCACAUGGAUUUCCACAGAGCUUGUACUAUUCUCACCAAAGAUGUAGAAGGGCUUCUUUCCCUGUGUAGCCUCACCAGCAUUUGUUAUUAUUUGAUUACUCGAUGAUGGUCAUUCUUUGCAGGUAAGAAGUGAUCUCAGGGUUCUUUUACUCUGCAUUUCUCUAAUGGCCAAAAGAGUUCACUGCUUUUUCAUAUGUUUAUUGUAUUUUUUCUAAGGAGUAUCUAGUCAUUUCACUUGCCCAUGUUUUGACUAGAUCUUCUCCUCUGGGGAGGUUCAUGAUAUAUUAGAGAUAGAGUCCUCUGUCUAUGGAAUAGGUGCCAAUUUUUUUUCCCAUUCUGUAGGGUGUGUCCUCACUCUGUAGGUUUUUCCUCUGCUGUGGAGAAGCUUUUUAGCUUGGUGCGAUCCAUUUGUCGAAUCCUGGUAGCUUCCUGUGCAGUGGGGCUCUGCUCAGGAAGUCUUGUGACCGUGAGUUCUUGGGGGAACACCGUGUUACCAUGUCCAUCGCACAGGGGCCCCGGACCGCAGCCGCACCGUGACUUCCCCACCUCGCUUGUGCGUGCUGCGGUGAGGACUGAACGGAAAGCCGCAGCUUUAGCUUGAGGCUCAUCAUGGAAAACAGAAGGAAACGAAGGGCACAAGUAACGCAUUUUUAAAGAAAACGAUUGUGGGAUCCUGAAAGAGGUACCAAAACUGUGUGAAUUUUCAUAGAAAACGUUUCAGUAGGCGGAUUAUUUUUAGGUAUGACCAUUUAAAAACCAUGCCUCUCUUUGAAAAUAUGCCUAUUUAUUUCUCUUAAGGAGACCAAAAUGAUGUAAGUCUACAACCUAGGAAUAUUUUCUUAAGACAGUGAAUUUUUUUCUCAGCCUUGAUAUUAAUAAAUCAAUAUUAAAUUGUAAAAACAAGGUUCCUUUUUCAUCUGGAAAACUG
ensembl:lncRNA